UACGUAGGGGGCUAGCGUUGUCCGGAAUCAUUGGGCGUAAAGCGCGCGUAGGCGGCCAGAUAAGUCCGGUGUGAAAGUCACAGGCUCAACCUGUGAAUGCCGCUGGAAACUGUCUGGCUUGAGUCCGGAAGGGGCGAGUGGAAUUCCUGGUGUAGCGGUGAAAUGCGUAGAUAUCAGGAGGAACACCGGUGGCGAAGGCGGCCCUCUGGACGGAUACUGACGCUGAGGCGCGAAAGCGUGGGGAUCAAACAGG
rnacentral:rRNA from 1 species